UAAUGGAUUGACACUUUCGACCUCAUUGAGAUUACAAAAAAGGAUAUUUUUAGAAACUUUCUCCUGUUUAUCAGCAUGUUCCUUUUCUAUUUUGUUUAUUUGUUUAUUUUUCUGAAAGAUUUAGGGGAUACUGGAUAUAUUGCAUAGUUGUGAAAUCUAUUUUUUAGUUUCUGGUUUCUUUAAGAGGUUAAUAUUUGGUUGUUCAUCUUCAUAUAAACUGCCUUCUUUAGAAUAUACAUAUGUGUGUAUAUAUAUAUAUAUGUAUAUAUAUGUGCCAAAUAAUUUUCUCUUUGCUUAUUCUUUCAGAAGGAAGUGUGUCUUUGGACCCUCAUUAUAAUUAAGAUACUCCUUUUAGAGUUUUUUUGGGUGUAGUUUAAAAAAUUAGUCUUACAUGAAGAGGGAAGAGGAAGGAUUAUUUUUUCUGCAUUCUCAUAUUGAUAAUCAGGAACUGUGUUUUUCUGUGAAGCACUGACUUAUGGAGAAAAUAUCCUCAGGGAACCGUGUGCUGAUGGAAUGCACAAUCACUGCUGGGGGGGGUUAAUUUUGAUAGUUGGGAGUUAGUCUGGGGGCAAAACUCUCCCCUCUAAUGGGCAUAUCUGAUCCUGUGGAGAGCCUGUAUCAGUAGUAACCACUUUUACAGGGCUCUCUGUGCCUCUAACGAGAGAAUAGAUUGCCUCCUCUCACAAUCACCUUUGGGAAUACAUUGGGCCCACCUGGAUAAUGCAAAAUAAUCUUCCCAUUUCAGGAUCCUAAAUUUAAUCACAUCUACAAAGUCACUUACGCCUUGUAAUAUAACAUAGUCACAAGGAUUAGUAGGGGGACAUCUUUGUGAGACAAUUAUUGUGUAUGUCACAGCGACAUUUAUAAUAUAACUGUAGCUUAAACAAAUGUUAACAUCAUAAAACAAAAAGACACUGAGGAUUCACUGCAAUUUAAGAAGACAAAAGAUACACAAAAACAGGUGGCCUGGAGAGGAAGAGAUAUGGAGUUAUUACAAAAAGGAAUCUAUAGUACUUGAAAACAAGCAAGAAACAGCAAGACAGAGGAAGAUGAAACUAAGAAGAAUAAGAAUCUUUUGUUUUCAGUUUCGAUAAUGAAGCAAAUAAUGGAACCGAUGACAGGAAAAUUGAUUCAUAAGGUGAAGAUCAAGGAAUUUAACCUGACUAGUAGACUGCCCCCUCCAGGCAGCUCUUGGAAUCCCUGGGCAUUACCUAGUGGAAGAAGAACACCCUCAGGCAGGAAGACGCAGGAAGUUAUUGGUGUGUGUAGGAACUGUCUACUGAAAACCUCCAGGUGAACUGGGUUGAUGCGUUCAGAGACCAACAAGAUCUCUUACAAACUUAUUUCAAUGGCUUUAUUUGGAGAAAGCACAAUGGAGAGGUAACAUCAGAGUUGUGACUGAUCCACAGAAACACAUGGUAAGAACAAUAAAAUAAUUUUGAAAGGUUAUUGCCACUUAUUUUUUUACUUAACAAAAAUACAUAGUGAAUAAAUUAAAUGGGAUUUGGGGUAGGUAGCUAUACUAUCAUUUCCAUGUGUUCAGGUAUCUCAGUGAUCUCGUCAGGGUGUCAAUGCCCUCUAUCCAAAGACCACUAGGAACACACUUAUAUUCAAACAAGUUGUGAUUAUUGCUCCUUGAAGCAAAGAAGAAGAUACCAUGAAAAUCCGUGGGCCAUCAAAGCAACAGGGUGUUAGAAAGGACUGGUUAUAAAAUUUGGGUAUGUGGUAGGUAAUUUUGGGAAAUAUUUCAAGAAGCCUACUUUGCUCUGGAUGAAAUGCUAUCAGGAAGCAGGAGUAAUAUUGUGACUGCAUAUUUGAAUAAAUCUUAUCUAGGACGG